CUGGAGGACUCUCCACGACCCUAGCUUCUCCCGUCCAGCCCCCGCCCCGGAACCGGCGGUUGACCGGCGGCCGCCCAGUACUGGAACUGUGAGGGCACAGUGGAACCGCAGGCAUGAGUUCCACCCGCGGCUCCGCGUCCCGGCCCGGCCUUUCUGACAAGAGCUAGACUUUGGGAUCCUUGAGAAUACUCAGCUAUGCACAUUUGAAUAUCCUCUCACCAUAUUCAACAUGAGAUAACAUUCUUAAUGAUUAUCCUCAGCAGGACAGUUAAAGUGGCACUGGGAUGUGGUGCGUGGGUUCCGGUAUGUGGAGGCCUGCUGUGGUCGUGGGUGACUGCUGGUAGUCUCAGGAGGAGCGCUGGAGGGUGGAGUCCCACAGAUGCUGCCAUUCUGCAAAGAGAGUCUUUUGAUCAAGUGACCAACAGAAUUGAUACCACAAAAAUCACAAACAUAAAGAUCAAAUACAGAUUUUCACAUCAGAACCAUCAGCGAUCUCAAAAGUUUCAGUUCCUUGGAGAUCGAAUUGCAAAAGGUUCCCAACUAUGGACUAUCACCCUACCAAGAAUUUCCAGCAUUGAAGAUCAAAUACAGAUUUUCACAUCAAAUCCCUCAGCACUGUCAAAAGUUUCAUUUUCUUGGAGACUGAACUCACCAACUGUGGACUAUCUCCAUACUGAGAAUUUCUGGCAUUGAAGGACCUGUGAAGAAGGCAAGGGAAGAAAUAGGUGACUACUGUUGCAGAGUUUGCAAUUGAUCCAGACGUUUGCCAGUGCACCUCAUGUUCCUGCAGGCAGUCUGGGCCGGAGCCAGGGCGUGACCACACAGAAGAUGAGGAAGAGCAGCUCUGCCUUUUGCCUGUUGCUCACUUCUGCCUCCUGAGCUGCUGUGAUUGGAGAUAUAUUCCACCACAUGAAGACUCAUGAGAGCCAUGUUGCAGUGUUCUUGUGUAAGAAACAAUUCAUAGACGACCACACAGAUUGAUACGUCACUACAAUGAGCCCUAUUUGAAGGAGGAAGAACAAAGAGUAUUGGAUCCCUUACCAAUCCAAUCAGAUGGACAAAAAUGGGCUAGUAUUUAAGAUAAAAAAGUUGCAUCUUGCACAAUCAUCCGCAACUCGCAACUCAGACCUGCCGACUUGGGGACAAGUGAAAUGCCUGACUGCCACUGCUGAACACAUGGUGAACAACUCCGGAAAACCAAAAACCCAUAGGCUUUGUUUUUUGCUUUGAUUGCUCUCAUUUUACUCAGGUACUGCCUAUUCAUACUUAUGAUAAUGAAGGGAAAGCUUACUGGACCUAUUUUCCAAAUAUUCACUU